AUCGAGUUCGAUCAAGACAUACGCUGACACGCGAGAUGAAGGCAUAACACAUGCGUCUAGAGCGGCAGCACGGGUAGCAAUACCUGGUGGCGACCGGCGCACGGGUGCGUAACGCGUAUGUAAUCUACCAUUAACCCAUUAGCCCAGAGAAAUCUGGAUUAAUGCGCCAUAGUAUUAUCGACAGGCAUCUAAUGAUAAUUAUACCUCACGCGGUUUUUGCUGACCAUGCGUGUCAUUAGUUUGUUGGUGAGGUAACGGCUCACCAAGACUACGAUGACUAGGGAUUCUGAGAGGAUGAUCCGCCACACUGGUCCUGUGACACGGCCCUGACUGCUGCGCGCGUCAGCAGUAAGGAAUAUUGGGCAAUGGAGGCAACCCUGACCCUGCCAUGCCGCGUGAAGGAUUGACGGCCCUCUGGGUUGUAAACUUCUUGUACGGGAAUAACCCUCCGAACGUGUUCGGAGCUGAAGGUACCGUAAGAAUAAGGAUCGGCUAACUCCUGUGCCAGCAGCCGCGGUAAUACGGAGGAUCCAUACGUAUCCGGAUUACUGGGUUUAAAGGGUGCGUAGGCGGAUUGAUAAGUCAGUGGUGAAAGCCAGCAGCUUAACUGCAGAAUUGCCAUUGAUACUGAGAAGCUUGAGUACAGUUGAGGUAAGCGGAAUGUGUAGUGUAGCGGUGAAAUGCUUAGAUAUUUGUGAACACCGAUUGCGAAGGCAGCUUACUAAACUGUUACUGACGCUGAUGCACGAAAGCGUGGCCAGCGAACAGGAUUAGAUACCCUGGUAGUCCACGCCGUAAACGAUGCUCACUCGCUGUAUGCGAUACACAGUAUGCGGCCAAGCGAAAGCAUUAAGUGAGCCACCUGGGGACUACUAUCCCAAUGUUGAAACGCAUAGGAAUUGCCAUCGGCCCGCACAAGCGGAGGAACAUGUGGUUUAAUUCGCUGAUACGCGAGGAACCUUACCUGUGAUUAAAUGGCAAACGACAGCUGCCUAAAGGUGGCCUUCCUCCGAUCGUUCUGUAGAGGUGCUGCAUGGUUGUCGUCAGCUCGUGCCGUGAGGUGUCGGGUCUAAGUCCCAUAACGAGCGCAAUAUGCGUUAGUUGCCAGCGGGUAAUGUCGGGAACUCUAGCGAGACUGCCAACGUAAGUUGUGAGGAAGGUGGGGAUGACGUCAAAUCAGCACCUCCCUUACGUCCAGGGAUAUACAUGUGAUAUAAUGGCCGGUAGAGAGGGCAGCCACCUGGGUACAGGGAGCUAAACCAUACAGCCGGUCUCAGUUCGGAUCGAAGUCUGCAACCCGACUUCGUGAAGCUGGAUUCGCUAGUAUUCUCAUAUCCGCCGUGAUGCGAUGAAUUCGAUCUCGCGCCUCAACGCCCGACAUGCCCUGGAAGCUGGCGGUACCUGAAGUCGGUAACCGCAACGAGCUAGCUAGGGUUAAACUAGUAACUGGGGCUAAGUCGUAACAACGUAACUCGAUG
rnacentral:rRNA from 1 species